CCCCCCCCCCCAAGCCGAUAGCGGGUUAUAGGCAAUUCAGCUUUUAAAGGCAUUAUCCAAUUCAGCUUUUAAAGGCGUUAUCCGAUUGAGCUGCCAUAUGUAGUGUUUACCGUGAGGGGGAUCUCCCAAACCUGGAAACAUUGCCUUUAAAAGCCUCAAUGCCCCUAACGCUAAGUAUUUAUUUAGUGGGCUUGAGCGUUUCUGACUAUCUGGCUUCUGCUUCACACAAACACUACAGGCCAGGCUGUUAACCAACUGGUCCCACUUUGAUUUAUUGACCUUUGAUGAUGUGCUGUACAUAAUGUAUUUAUCUAUUUAUUUAUUUAUUGACUGAGGAUUGUGAUUGGUUGAGACAGUCUGUCGGCCAAUCAGACUAGUUUAAAGCUGAGCCUGUUGGUUUGCUGUGCGGAGGUUGGUCAUGAUACUGGUCAGUGGUUAUGUUCUAGUCCGAAAUGGCCCCCUAUUACUUAUAUAGUGGAAUAUGUGAGGAAGGAAUAGAAUAGGGAUAUGAGGAACCUAUUCCCUAUAUAGAACAAGUCCACUACAUCUAGCGGAGGAAUAUGGUGCCAUUCCAGAGGCACCCGACUGUGUCUGUUUAGCUGUGGCUGGUUGUCCACUAGGUGAUUCUAUCUCUUAGCUGUGGCUGGUUGUCCACUAGGUGAUUCUAUCUCUUAGCUGUGGCUGGUUGUCCACUAGGUGAUUCUAUCUCUUAGCUGUGGCUGGUUGUCCACUAGGUGAUUCUAUCUCUUAGCUGUGGCUGGUUGUCCACUAGGUGAUUCUAUCUUUGUUCUGAUAGCUAUCUUGACUUUUGUGUCCAGCUUUACUUCAACAGUACUUGAUUGCAAUUUUAGAAAUUCACAUUGAAUCUCGAGGGUGCCGUGAAAAUAGGGCGUUGUUGUGGGCUUACAGAUUUGUAAUGGCCGGGAGAGCCCAGCACAGAAUGUUUUCUUUCAGCAGUCUUUUUCAUCACACAUCCAGGACCCCGAGCUAAGCUAGCUGGAUUGGUUAGCAUAGCUAGCUGCAUACUGUCAGUUUAGCUAGGAUAACUGGAUUGGUUAGCUUAGCUAGCUGCAUACUGUCAGUUUAGCUAGGAUAACUGGAUUGGUUAGCUUAGCUAGCUGCAUACUGUCAGUUUAGCUAGGAUAGCUGGAUUAGUUAGCUUAGCUAGCUGCAUACUGUCAGUUUAGCUAGGAUAGCUGGAUUAGUUAGCUUAGCUAGCUGCAUAUUGUCAGUUUAGCUAGGAUAGCUGGACUGGUCAGCUUAGCUUGCUGCAUAUUGUCCGGUUAGCUAAAAUGGCUGGAUUAGUGUACCCAAGCUAAGACACCAUCACUCCCCAACCUCAACCCUGUACAGCCCUACUGUACACUGGACUUACUGUACCUAUGUUAAGGCCAAGCACCAAGCUGACACCAUCUUUAUAACUCUCUCUCUCUCUCUCUCUCUCCUUCUGUCUAACAGAGGAAGUGUCCAGGGGCAUUUUUGAUGUAUUCCUUCACAUGGAGACCAACCCAACAGGUUAACUCUGUACUGAAUAAGACACUGUAAAAUAAUUAUAACAAUAAAACUAUGUUGGAAGUA